rnacentral:rRNA from 1 species
UCGACCUGAGCUCAGGCAAGAUUACCCGCCGAACUUAAGCAUAUCACUCAGCGGUGGAAAAG